GAAUGUUCAUAAUAUACAGUUAAGCGCUAAAAUUAUUCAUGUGUUAUCAAAAUUAAUAGAGAACAUUUUUUUGGGGGAAAAGGAGGAGCCGGGCUAGAAAAACAAUUUUCCUGUCCCAAAGUACCUAUGACUUUUGAUACCUUUUCUGAAAUUCUCCAGUCUUUAAAUCCUUUACAAAAAUUCAUUGAUUACAAAAAAAAAGGAUGUGGUAUGAUUGCCAAUGAGACAGCUCUCCAUAAGAGACCAAAAUGACACCGAAAUUAACAAUUAUAGGUCACCUUACGGCCUUCAACAAUGAGCAAAGUCAAUACCCAUAGUCAGAUAUAAAAGGCCACGAAAUGACAAUGUAAAACAAUUCAAAUGAGAAAACUAACGGCCUUAUGUGUGUACAAAAAACAAAUAUAUAACACAUAAACAAACGACAACCACAGAAUUACGGGCUCCUGCCUUGAAUGUUCAUAAUAUACUAAAUGUAUGUUCAUAAUGAAAUAAAUAGAAAACCAAAAAUUGGGAAUUUUGGAAAUAGGAGGAGGGAUACAAAAAACUUUUUCCUGUCCCCAAGUACCUAUGACUUUUGAUACUUUUCCUAAAAUUCUCAAGUCAUUAAAUAUUUUACAAAAUUCUUCCUACAACACUUUACAUACUUUCAACCACGCUCUGAAUGCCCGCGAUUUCGCGGGUGUGUUCUAGUAAAUUUAUUAA
rnacentral:lncRNA from 1 species